CCAGAUGCAGAUGAGCUGGUUGUACUCUGGUUGAACCAGUUCCAAAGAGUGGGGAAGGAAGAGGAAACAGGGAGGGAGGGAGAGAGAGAGAGCGAGAGGAAGCAGUUGGAACGCACACACCCAGAGGUAUAAAGUCACAGAGCAAGAUGCCAAACAUCUCACCAUUUACCUAUCAUUUCAGGACCGUAUGUGCAAAGUUGCAGCAGAGAGAAGCAGAAGAAGUUCUGAGAGACCCACAGAGGAGAAGGUGAUAUGGAGACAGAGGCAGAGACUGGAGAAUGUCUUUAUAAGCCAAAGAAUGCCAACAGCCACCAGAAGCUGCAAGAGGUAAGGAAUGAUU